GAUGAACGCUAGCGGGAGGCCUAACACAUGCAAGCUGAGCGGUAGAGUUUCUUCGGAGACUUGAGAGCGGCGUACGGGUGCGGAACACGUGUGCAACCUGCCUUUAUCAGGGGGAUAGCCUUUCGAAAGGAAGAUUAAUACCCCAUAAUAUAUAGAGUGGCAUCACUUUAUAUUGAAAACUGAGGUGGAUAAAGAUGGGCACGCGCAAGAUUAGAUAGUUGGUGAGGUAACGGCUCACCAAGUCGAUGAUCUUUAGGGGGCCUGAGAGGGUGAUCCCCCACACUGGUACUGAGACACGGACCAGACUCCUACGGGAGGCAGCAGUGAGGAAUAUUGGACAAUGGGUUAGCGCCUGAUCCAGCCAUCCCCCGUGAAGGACGACGGCCCUAUGGGUUGUAAACUUCUUUUGUACAGGGAUAAACCUAUUUACGUGUAAAUAGCUGAAGGUACUGUACGAAUAAGCACCGGCUAACUCCGUGCCAGCCGCCGCAGUAA
rnacentral:rRNA from 1 species